UCCUCAUGACCUCUUUCCCCGGGAAGAUUUUCAUUUCCAUUCAUGCGCGCCCGGGAAAAUCAAAAUUAUUUUCAAAAUUUGAUAUUAUCCCGGCAUCACAAAAUUCUCCCGCCUUCUUUUCCCUCCAUAUCCCCCUGUUGGUUAUAAAACCGAUCGAUGGAAUCGCCUCAUUGGACCAUGAAUCAUUAUUCUGAUGAGACUAGAGAGGAAAAAAAUCAAAAAAGAAGAGAAGGGACGAAUUGAUUAGAAGCAAAGUCCUGCCAAACAUGCACAAGUUCAAGUGAUUACCAAAUCUUAAUAAGCAGGAGUAGGAGCAACACGAGAGCUAGAAGAAGAAUCGAGAAAUGCCGAGAAUCCACAUCUGUUGAAAUCGGAAGUAAAUUUGCAUAGAGAUGCUCACUUGUAUGGAGAACAGUCUCCCCUCAGAACUUAGCAUAGAAAUUCUUUCCCGCUUACCCGCUGAUUCAGUCUUGCAGUGCAGACAAGUGUGCAAAACGUGGCGACACCUACUGCGUCAUCCUUCCUUUGCUCAUAAGCACCUACAUCAAUUAUUACAGAAUGAUGGUAAUAGUAACUCAAGUCAUUCUUCUCUUAUUGCUUCCAAGGUUCGUUCUGGUUUCCUUUUCGUCUUUAAAUUUACACGGGAAUCAGGCUGGCAACUUUACUAUGGAGAGUAUGAUGAUCAGCCUAGUAAGAAACUUAGAAGGAUUAACCAGCCUCCCACGAAUUAUCAGACAUUGGUUGGAUCAUGUAACGGGUUGAUUUGCUAUUCUAAAGGCGGUUAUGGACCUAAUGAUCAUUGGGAUUAUGAUCAUGAACCUACCUAUAUUUGCAAUCCAAUCACCGGUGAAUAUGUGAGUUUGCCAGGGCUGAGACCUUGGGGGAUAGAUUGUACGAAAAAGUUACAGUCUAUGGUGUGUGGUUUUGGUUACCAUAGUUCUAGUAACAAGUACAAAAUUGUUAGAAUCUACUAUCUUCAGAAUCAACCCUUAGGGCAGGUCCAGGUAUAUACACUUGGUAGUGGCAUUGGUUGGAGAGACUUGGGAGAAACUGCUUACUCAUUGCGAUACACUUGGCAGAAAAGUUCUGAUGACCGUUCUUCAUUUGCUGCGUUUGCAAAUGGAGCCCUUCAUUGGCUUGACUUGGAACAGAAGAUUGUGUCCUUUGAUUUGUCCGAUGAGAAGUUCUACUUGCUCCCACCACCACCUUUUGUCCGUGCUGCAAAUGUGCGGAACUGUUUUAAACUUCAGGUUUUGGGAGGGUGCUUGUGUUUUAUUCAUCAAAAGCGAAGUGAACUCCUAGACAUAUGGUUCUUAAGGAAGAAAGGAGGACACAGUAGUUCCGCCGUGAAUGAGCAGGAUUACAGUUCAUUAAACUGGAUUAAGGAGUUCAGCAUACCAAAAAGUGAUGCAGUGCCAUUUGCCCUUACAAAUAGUGGUCAUGUCCUACUUCACUACAACUCUGGUGUCUUCUGCUAUGAUCCAGAAACUAGUGCAGUCUCGGAAAGUCUUAUAGGAACGACUUCUAUCAUGUACUGCAUGUAGUUCCUCACAUGAACAGCUUGGUUUCUCUGCAAGGUCUUCCAGAAGUUUGGUGGCCCAGAAAAAGAUACGAUGUUAAUCCAGCACCAAAGGAAAUCUUUAUAAAACCACAGAGAAAAGAUGAUGGAAAGAUUGGUGUUAAUCCAAGCCUUACUAUGGCUCAAAAUUUGGACAAGCAGCCAGUAUCUCCAACACGGGCUAUUGGUAGCAAUCUCGACAAGUCUAUUCUUAUGCCAGUUGCGGUGGAGGCGUCUCACACGAGCAAAGCUGCAGAUGAUUCGAGAAAGAGGGAAGAAAAGUCACUGAAGUGCAAGUCACAUUGUUCUGACGGACCUGAGAAGCUAGAUCAUUCGCCCCAAGAGUUGUACUGUUCAGAUGAAAACAGUCCCCUCAGCCAUUGUCCAAGGCGCCCUAUUCGUGAGGGAAGAAGUGGUGUUGAUGGUACACAUAAGAUUGUUGCGGAUGUGGAGAUAUUUUCAGAUCAUCAUGGGGAUAUUGGGGGAACUCAUGGAGAAGUGGGGGCCACAUCACCUCUCAGGCGUGCGGCUAAACGACAUACGGCUGGUUCAGACAUGAGUGACCAGGGAAGUGAGAAGAAGGCAUGCUCUGAAUCUGGCAGACCCCAUGGUCAAGACGUCGGGCAACCCCGAGAAAGAGGCAGGGGUAGUUCACUUAUAUCCCCCUUAGGGCCCUCUGAUAAAGGGAAGGUCUAUUGUCCACUUCCUCAGUAUACUGCUCCUCAACUAUGUCCACCAAGUUUUCUUAUGGUAGCUGGAUUUCCCGUACUACCUAAGUAUAAAGACUUGUAUACUCGAGUGGUUGCCUCCAAAGGGCACAUGGCCUCCGACACAAAGGUUAAAUCGAUGAACAUACAAGCCACUAUGGUCACCGAACUUUUGGAGACGAUUCAGCAAAUGAGCGAACUCUCUAGUCGUGAUGUUACCUCCACCAACUUACAACAAUGGCGUGCAUCAGUUGAUACCGCUUCCGCUAUGGACUUUCACGUGUCAUGGUUGGAUGAUCAGCUUCACCUUCUUGAGUCUAAAAUUCGUGAUGUUGAAGAACUAAAGGCGACGAGGCGUGGUCUGGAAGCAGAAGUCAAGAGGUAGUGAGAAUAAGAUCUUUUUACUUCGCUCCAAGAUGGAAGAGGCGAGACGUGCAUACGAGGCCGCUAAGGUAGAAAAAGCUGAAUUGAAUGUGAAGGUGGCUACAGUGAAAGCUAGCCUUGCUUCAUUUGAAGCAGAUAGUCAAGUGACUUCCUCUUUGUCAAAUUCGGCACUUGGUUCAUGUUUAGGACUUUAGGUAUCCCUCAUUGAUUGAUUCUCUCUGGUUUUACCAUAUGUUUCUGUUGAAAUUUGCUUAAUUGGUUAGGUUUCUAAGAUUUAGUUGGUCUCACAGAAGCUUGUGAUACAGUACUUCUGUUUGGAGGCGUUUGAGGGGGUACAUUGUGAUAUUUUAUUUAUUUCUCCUUUUUUGAGUUUCUUUUUUUAUAUGUAUAUUUUGGUUAUUAUUUUACGUAAGGAAAAUGUCUAUUCAAACAUAAUUUUAGAUAUUACUUUAAUAAAAUGCAUGC